rnacentral:rRNA from 1 species
UACGUAGGGGGCGAGCGUUGUCCGGAAUCAUUGGGCGUAAAGCGCGUGUAGGCGGCCCGGUAAGUCCGCUGUGAAAGUCCAGGGCCCAACCCUGGGAUGCCGGUGGAUACUGUCGGGCUCGAGUCCGGAAGAGGCGAGUGGAAUUCCUGGUGUAGCGGUGAAAUGCGCAGAUAUCAGGAGGAACACCAAUGGCGAAGGCAGCUCGCUGGGACGUGACUGACGCUGAGACGCGAAAGCGUGGGGAGCAAACAGG